UAAAGUGGCGCACGGGUGAGUAACGCGUGGAUAAUCUGCCUUCAGUUGGGAAUAACUCAUCGAAAGGUGGCUAAUACCGAAUAAUACUGUGAGACCUCGGUCGAUCAGUCAAAGAGAGCCUCUGCUUGCAUGCCCUUGCUGAAGGAUGAGUCCGCGUACCAUUAGCUAGUUGGUAGGGGUAAUGGCCUACCAAGGCGACGAUGGUUAGCUGGUCUGAGAGGAUGAUCAGCCACACUGGAACUGAGACACGGUCCAGACUCCUACGGGAGGCAGCAGUGAGAAUCUUGCGCAAUGGGGGCAACCCUGACGCAGCAACGCCGCGUGAGUGAGGAAGGUCUUCGGAUCGUAAAGCUCUGUCGGAUGGAAAGAACCGCAUAGGGGUAAAUAGCUCCUAUGUCUGACGGUACCAUCAAAGGAAGCACCGGCUAACUCCGUGCCAGCAGCCGCGGUAA
rnacentral:rRNA from 1 species